GGUUAAGCGACUAAGCGUACACGGUGGAUGCCCUGGCAGUCAGAGGCGAUGAAGGACGUGCUAAUCUGCGAUAAGCGUCGGUGAGGUGAUAUGAACCGUUAUAACCGGCGAUUUCCGAAUGGGGAAACCCAGUGUGAUUCGUCACACUAUCAUUAACUGAAUCCAUAGGUUAAUGAGGCGAACCGGGGGAACUGAAACAUCUAAGUACCCCGAGGAAAAGAAAUCAACCGAGAUUCCCCCAGUAGCGGCGAGCGAACGGGGAGGAGCCCAGAGCCUGAAUCAGUGUGUGUGUUAGUGGAAGCGUCUGGAAAGGCGCGCGAUACAGGGUGACAGCCCCGUACACAAAAAUGCACAUAUUGUGAGCUCGAUGAGUAGGGCGGGACACGUGGUAUCCUGUCUGAAUAUGGGGGGACCAUCCUCCAAGGCUAAAUACUCCUGACUGACCGAUAGUGAACCAGUACCGUGAGGGAAAGGCGAAAAGAACCCCGGCGAGGGGAGUGAAAAAGAACCUGAAACCGUGUACGUACAAGCAGUGGGAGCCUCUUUUAUGGGGUGACUGCGUACCUUUUGUAUAAUGGGUCAGCGACUUAUAUUCUGUAGCAAGGUUAACCGAAUAGGGGAGCCGAAGGGAAACCGAGUCUUAACUGGGCGUUAAGUUGCAGGGUAUAGACCCGAAACCCGGUGAUCUAGCCAUGGGCAGGUUGAAGGUUGGGUAACACUAACUGGAGGACCGAACCGACUAAUGUUGAAAAAUUAGCGGAUGACUUGUGGCUGGGGGUGAAAGGCCAAUCAAACCGGGAGAUAGCUGGUUCUCCCCGAAAGCUAUUUAGGUAGCGCCUCGUGAAUUCAUCUCCGGGGGUAGAGCACUGUUUCGGCAAGGGGGUCAUCCCGACUUACCAACCCGAUGCAAACUGCGAAUACCGGAGAAUGUUAUCACGGGAGACACACGGCGGGUGCUAACGUCCGUCGUGAAGAGGGAAACAACCCAGACCGCCAGCUAAGGUCCCAAAGUCAUGGUUAAGUGGGAAACGAUGUGGGAAGGCCCAGACAGCCAGGAUGUUGGCUUAGAAGCAGCCAUCAUUUAAAGAAAGCGUAAUAGCUCACUGGUCGAGUCGGCCUGCGCGGAAGAUGUAACGGGGCUAAACCAUGCACCGAAGCUGCGGCAGCGACGCUUAUGCGUUGUUGGGUAGGGGAGCGUUCUGUAAGCCUGUGAAGGUGUGCUGUGAGGCAUGCUGGAGGUAUCAGAAGUGCGAAUGCUGACAUAAGUAACGAUAAAGCGGGUGAAAAGCCCGCUCGCCGGAAGACCAAGGGUUCCUGUCCAACGUUAAUCGGGGCAGGGUGAGUCGACCCCUAAGGCGAGGCCGAAAGGCGUAGUCGAUGGGAAACAGGUUAAUAUUCCUGUACUUGGUGUUACUGCGAAGGGGGGACGGAGAAGGCUAUGUUGGCCGGGCGACGGUUGUCCCGGUUUAAGCGGGUAGGCUGGUUUUCCAGGCAAAUCCGGAAAAUCAAGGCUGAGGCGUGAUGACGAGGCACUACGGUGCUGAAGCAACAAAUGCCCUGCUUCCAGGAAAAGCCUCUAAGCAUCAGGUAACAUCAAAUCGUACCCCAAACCGACACAGGUGGUCAGGUAGAGAAUACCAAGGCGCUUGAGAGAACUCGGGUGAAGGAACUAGGCAAAAUGGUGCCGUAACUUCGGGAGAAGGCACGCUGAUAUGUAGGUGAAGCGACUUGCUCGUGGAGCUGAAAUCAGUCGAAGAUACCAGCUGGCUGCAACUGUUUAUUAAAAACACAGCACUGUGCAAACACGAAAGUGGACGUAUACGGUGUGACGCCUGCCCGGUGCCGGAAGGUUAAUUGAUGGGGUCAGCGCAAGCGAAGCUCUUGAUCGAAGCCCCGGUAAACGGCGGCCGUAACUAUAACGGUCCUAAGGUAGCGAAAUUCCUUGUCGGGUAAGUUCCGACCUGCACGAAUGGCGUAAUGAUGGCCAGGCUGUCUCCACCCGAGACUCAGUGAAAUUGAACUCGCUGUGAAGAUGCAGUGUACCCGCGGCAAGACGGAAAGACCCCGUGAACCUUUACUAUAGCUUGACACUGAACAUUGAGCCUUGAUGUGUAGGAUAGGUGGGAGGCUUAGAAGUGUGGACGCCAGUCUGCAUGGAGCCGACCUUGAAAUACCACCCUUUAAUGUUUGAUGUUCUAACGUGGACCCGUGAUCCGGGUUGCGGACAGUGUCUGGUGGGUAGUUUGACUGGGGCGGUCUCCUCCUAAAGAGUAACGGAGGAGCACGAAGGUUGGCUAAUCCUGGUCGGACAUCAGGAGGUUAGUGCAAUGGCAUAAGCCAGCUUGACUGCGAGCGUGACGGCGCGAGCAGGUGCGAAAGCAGGUCAUAGUGAUCCGGUGGUUCUGAAUGGAAGGGCCAUCGCUCAACGGAUAAAAGGUACUCCGGGGAUAACAGGCUGAUACCGCCCAAGAGUUCAUAUCGACGGCGGUGUUUGGCACCUCGAUGUCGGCUCAUCACAUCCUGGGGCUGAAGUAGGUCCCAAGGGUAUGGCUGUUCGCCAUUUAAAGUGGUACGCGAGCUGGGUUUAGAACGUCGUGAGACAGUUCGGUCCCUAUCUGCCGUGGGCGCUGGAGAACUGAGGGGGGCUGCUCCUAGUACGAGAGGACCGGAGUGGACGCAUCACUGGUGUUCGGGUUGUCAUGCCAAUGGCACUGCCCGGUAGCUAAAUGCGGAAGAGAUAAGUGCUGAAAGCAUCUAAGCACGAAACUUGCCCCGAGAUGAGUUCUCCCUGACUCCUUGAGAGUCCUGAAGGAACGUUGAAGACGACGACGUUGAUAGGCCGGGUGUGUAAGCGCAGCGAUGCGUUGAGCUAACCGGUACUAAUGAACCGUGAGGCUUAACCUU
rnacentral:rRNA from 4 species